rnacentral:rRNA from 1 species
AUGAUGGUAUGUGUAGCCAUCCUCCCUGGGGCUCCAAUCUGUGAGUAUGUUGGUGUGUUGCCGAGGACUGGAGAGAAAAGGUCAGGGUCUGAUAUGCAUAUGCCAUCACUUCAUGUUGAGAACAAUUCCGAGGCACCACCGGCACCCGAGUACUGCAUCGAUGCUGGCUCCGUUGGAAGUUUCGCAAGGUUCAUAAACCACGGCUGCAACCCUAACCUCUUCGCCCAGUGUGUCCUAACCAAUCACCACGACAUCAAGCUAGAAAAGGUAGCACCUAACAUCGACAACUGCGAUGUCAUGAACUCCCUCGCAAUUGCCGAAUAUGUCGCUGAAAUUACAACUUCUACAGACAGACCAAGGAGUUGA